rnacentral:misc_RNA from 1 species
UUUUUUUUUUUUUUUUUCUUGAUGUUGUUGAGGCUGCAGACUUUGAUAAGAAGCUAUCACUCUAGCUCAAUUGAAGUUAUUUACGAAUGUUAUAAUUUUGAUGUGGGUUCUUUUAUCAGUUCUGGAUCCCCCAAUAUGGAAGAUGCUGGGAGCAUGAUCGAUGAAGCUAAGCUUGCUCAAUGCAUGUUUGGCAAACAUAAUAAUUUUCUUCUAACUGGAAAGGAGGAGGCCAACCUUUCAAACCAUCCAUCUAUGAAAUAUAUACGUCAAAGGUGAGUCAUUAAUUAGGCAAGGUCAAGGCUAUGGGAAUUUUUUUAACAAUUUUUUCCUCUGAGUAUGUUGCUGAAUUGAACCUAGAUUGCUGUGUUAUCUAUCCAGAUACUUCAAAAAUGAAAACUAAAUUUGGACAUGUCAUGUUGAUGCCAGUUUCAGUCAUUUCUUCUGUAAAAUCUGUUUGACGCCACUGCCAGCAUCCAAGAUGAGCUUGAAAUUCUUCAUAUUAACUGGAAUCUAGGUUUGGCUCCAUAUGAAUUUAUUAUUAUUAUUAACAUUAUUUUGCAAAAGCAGAAAUAUUUCUUGAUUAUGGAUGACUUGCAUCCACACUCAAUGGCAUUAUGAAAUAUGGAAUGUUUCUGUGCAGAACACAUGGGAUGGCAAUAUGGAAUUAAGGGCCAAGAAGCUGCUGAGAAGCUGGCUGAGCAUGACAUCCUAAAUCUUUAUCCUACAUGCUUGAUUUUUAACAAUUUUGCUGCAUAAGGAAACUGGGGUGACGCUAAUACUUGGACUAUAGGAGAAAACUGAAAAAGGUGUAUGGAUGUAGGUGGAUUGUGAGGAGACAGAAGACAAAUUCUUUUAUUGCAGACUACAAGUCUCAAUCUUUGCAGAGUAAGAGAAGGCCCCUCUUUUGUUGUUGCCUCUCUACCUAUCUAGGUAGAGUUGAGGGCUUUACUGAGCUUAGGCAACAAGAUGUAGUUGGUUGAAGAUACAGAUGGAAGCCAUGCACAGACUGCAGAUAAAAUAUGACUCGGGUUGGUGGAUGGACAAGCAAGGCUGGCUAUUGCUUUUCUGAAGGUCAAGACUCUAAAUACGCAUUUGAUCACACCACAGCCUUAACUACUAUGGCAUUUAAGUUUUUAAAAUGGUUCAUUUAUAAAUCUCCAAGUUAUUUAUUUGAUGCACUUGUAGUUGGAAAUAAUGAGCCUGCAAAUAAAAAAUCAGUGAAAAGUUCCAAGUUCAAUCCUGGACCCUGCAUCUUGUGAAGGUGGUUUCUCACUCGCAAAAUGUCACUCCUUUCAACAUUGAUUCUUAUAUUGCAAAAUGAAAGGUAGCUCAAAAUCUCCAUCUUGUAUCCUAAUUCCCGAGGAUGAAUGAAGAUGAAGGUGCCCGUCACUGGCUGUGCAAACGCGAUUGGCAAUAUUCAAAACUUGAGCUCUUCCUAUUCUGAAGUCUGUAGCCCAAUUCUUCCUUUCUCUUCUGGAAAUUCACCAAAAAAAUUCAUGGGUCUUUAGCAAAUGAGUCCUUGGUGUUAGUUAUGAAAUCGGUGUCCUAACCAACUUGCUGUUAGGUUACAUUAAUCCCUAAUCAUAAAUUUCUCCCUAAUUGCACCUUCGCGUGUGGCUGUACAAUGUGCCAUCCAUAAAUUAUAAAACUAAAAUGACGCAAACUACAUUCUUUGUUGUUGUAAAAACUCACUCUGUUAGCAAUCAA